UUUAUGGAGAGUUUGAUCCUGGCUCAGGAUGAACGCUGGCGGCGUGCCUAAUACAUGCAAGUCGAGCGAACGGACGAGAAGCUUGCUUCUCUGAUGUUAGCGGCGGACGGGUGAGUAACACGUGGAUAACCUACCUAUAAGACCGGGAUAACUUCGGGAAACCGGAGCUAAUACCGGAUAAUAUUUUGAACCGCAUGGUUCAAAAGUAAAAGACGGUCUUGCUGUCACUUAUAGAUGGAUCCGCGCUGCAUUAGCUAGUUGGUAAGGUAACGGCUUACCAAGGCAACGAUGCAUAGCCGACCUGAGAGGGUGAUCGGCCACACUGGAACUGAGACACGGUCCAGACUCCUACGGGAGGCAGCAGUAGGGAAUCUUCCGCAAUGGGCGAAAGCCUGACGGAGCAACGCCGCGUGAGUGAUGAAGGUCUUCGGAUCGUAAAACUCUGUUAUUAGGGAAGAACAUAUGUGUAAGUAACUGUGCACAUCUUGACGGUACCUAAUCAGAAAGCCACGGCUAACUACGUGCCAGCAGCCGCGGUAAUACGUAGGUGGCAAGCGUUAUCCGGAAUUAUUGGGCGUAAAGCGCGCGUAGGCGGUUUUUUAAGUCUGAUGUGAAAGCCCACGGCUCAACCGUGGAGGGUCAUUGGAAACUGGAAAACUUGAGUGCAGAAGAGGAAAGUGGAAUUCCAUGUGUAGCGGUGAAAUGCGCAGAGAUAUGGAGGAACACCAGUGGCGAAGGCGACUUUCUGGUCUGUAACUGACGCUGAUGUGCGAAAGCGUGGGGAUCAAACAGGAUUAGAUACCCUGGUAGUCCACGCCGUAAACGAUGAGUGCUAAGUGUUAGGGGGUUUCCGCCCCUUAGUGCUGCAGCUAACGCAUUAAGCACUCCGCCUGGGGAGUACGACCGCAAGGUUGAAACUCAAAGGAAUUGACGGGGACCCGCACAAGCGGUGGAGCAUGUGGUUUAAUUCGAAGCAACGCGAAGAACCUUACCAAAUCUUGACAUCCUUUGACAACUCUAGAGAUAGAGCCUUCCCCUUCGGGGGACAAAGUGACAGGUGGUGCAUGGUUGUCGUCAGCUCGUGUCGUGAGAUGUUGGGUUAAGUCCCGCAACGAGCGCAACCCUUAAGCUUAGUUGCCAUCAUUAAGUUGGGCACUCUAAGUUGACUGCCGGUGACAAACCGGAGGAAGGUGGGGAUGACGUCAAAUCAUCAUGCCCCUUAUGAUUUGGGCUACACACGUGCUACAAUGGACAAUACAAAGGGCAGCGAAACCGCGAGGUCAAGCAAAUCCCAUAAAGUUGUUCUCAGUUCGGAUUGUAGUCUGCAACUCGACUACAUGAAGCUGGAAUCGCUAGUAAUCGUAGAUCAGCAUGCUACGGUGAAUACGUUCCCGGGUCUUGUACACACCGCCCGUCACACCACGAGAGUUUGUAACACCCGAAGCCGGUGGAGUAACCUUUUAGGAGCUAGCCGUCGAAGGUGGGACAAAUGAUUGGGGUGAAGUCGUAACAAGGUAGCCGUAUCGGAAGGUGCGGCUGGAUCACCUCCUUUCU
rnacentral:rRNA from 1 species